GGCUUCAUAGCUCAGUUGAUUAAAGCGUUGCACCCAUACUGCAAGGUCACAGGUUCAAACCCCCUUGAAGUUC
rnacentral:tRNA from 1 species